rnacentral:misc_RNA from 1 species
GAAAUGCGAUAAGUAAUGUGAAUUGCAGAAUUCAGUGAAUCAUCGAAUCUUUGAACGCACAUUGCGCCCCCUGGUAUUCCGGGGGGCAUGCCUGUUCGAGCGUCAUUUCACCACUCAAGCCUCGCUUGGUAUUGGGCGACGCGGUCCGCCGCGCGCCUCAAAUCGACCGGCUGGGUCUUCCGUCCCCUCAGCGUUGUGGAAACUAUUCGCUAAAGGGUGCCGCGGGAGGUCACGCCGCAAAACAACCCCAUUUCUAAGGUUGACCUCGGAUCAGGUAGGGAUACCCGCUAAACUUAGGC